AUGGCGACCGGCGCACGGGUGAGUAACACGUAUCCAACCUGCCUUUACUCGGGGAUAGCCUUUCGAAAGAAAGAUUAAUACCCGAUAGCAUAAUGAUUCCGCAUGGUUUCAUUAUUAAAGGAUUCCGGUAAAGGAUGGGGAUGCGUUCCAUUAGGUUGUUGGUGAGGUAACAGCUCACCAAGCCUUCGAUGGAUAGGGGUUCUGAGAGGAAGGUCCCCCACAUUGGAACUGAGACACGGUCCAA
rnacentral:rRNA from 1 species